rnacentral:rRNA from 1 species
CAGUCGCCACGGUAAUACGUAGGUGGCAAGCGUUGUCCGGAAUUAUUGGGCGUAAAGGGCUCGCAGGCGGUUUCUUAAGUCUGAUGUGAAAGCCCCCGGCUCAACCGGGGAGGGUCAUUGGAAAUUGGGAAACUUGAGUGCAGAAGAGGAGAGUGGAAUUCCACGUGUAGCGGUGAAAUGCGUAGAGAUGUGGAGGAACACCAGUGGCGAAGGCGACUCUCUGGUCUGUAACUGACGCUGAGGAGCGAAAGCGUGGGGAGCGAACAGGAUUAGAUACCCCCGUAGUCCCUGUCUCUUAUAC